GAUGAACGCUGGCGGCGUGCUUAACACAUGCAAGUCGAACGGAAAGGCCCAAGCUUGCUUGGGUACUCGAGUGGCGAACGGGUGAGUAACACGUGGGUGAUCUGCCCUGCACUUCGGGAUAAGCCUGGGAAACUGGUCUAAUACCGGAUAGGACGAUGGUUUGGAUGCCAUUGUGGAAAGUUUUUUCGGUGUGGGAUGAGCUCGCGGCCUAUCAGCUUGUUGGUGGGGUAAUGGCCUACCAAGGCGUCGACGGGUAGCCGGCCUGAGAGGGUGUACGGCCACAUUGGGACUGAGAUACGGCCCAGACUCCUACGGGAGGCAGCAGUGGGGAAUAUUGCACAAUGGGCGCAAGCCUGAUGCAGCGACGCCGCGUGGGGGAUGACGGCCUUCGGGUUGUAAACUCCUUUCGCUAGGGACGAAGCGUUUUUGUGACGGUACCUGGAGAAGAAGCACCGGCUAACUACGUG
rnacentral:rRNA from 1 species